UAUGAUUGGGUGACUUGCAAACUUUGGGUCAAAAUUUAUGCGACAGAUUGUGCGGUUACUUUGUGCAGCAAAAAUUGUCUUUAUUGUAAAUUUCACGGGUUUUUAGGUUCUAUCUAAAUUUCACGUUUUAAAUUUCUUUUUUUUGGUAAAAUACAAAAAAAACAUUAAAAUAAAUAAUAAAUUUAUACAAAUUCGGUAAAUAAAUAGAUUUAAAACAACAAAAUUUUAAACUGUUUCAUGUUGUUUCAAUUAGGAAAUGCACGGGAAGAGAUACGUAAUCCAACGACUGCUUGGUGCAUUGAGGCAACGUAUAGAGAUUGAGACGACAGCCAACCCACAACUCGAAAAUGGGGUAUGAUAUUAAAGCGUGGAGCAUUAGUGAGGUGUUGAGGUGUCACGAAAACAUGCGACAGGACCACCCAGGUUUCGGAACACCGUUGGAAUAUAUUGGGUGUGAGGGUCGCCUUAAGCUCUUAGCACGUCUGGAAUUUUGGUCCUUGAAAUAACACGGAAGGCAACGGUGUCGCACAGAU